UUUUGCUCAAUUCAAAAUAGUUAUUAGUUAGAUGAUUCUUUUUACUUUUCUCAUUUCAGGUAGGUUUAUUAGCAUCUCCAGGGACAGUUGAAAGCAUUGCUGAUCAUCUUCGUUGGAUUAUUAGCCGCUUUGCAGGUAGGUUUAUUAGCAUCUCCAGGGACAGUUGAAAGCCUCGUUGAUCAUUUUCGUUGGAUUUUUGGCCGCUUUGCAGGUAGGUUUAUUAGCGUCUCCAGGGACAUUUGAAAGCCUCGUUGAUCAUUUUCGUUGGAUUUUUGGCCGCUUAGCAGGUGAGUGUAUGUUGUGAACUUUUGCUGGUUUCUAUUUAGCUACUAAUUAGAUGAUUCUUUUUACUUUUCUCAUUUCAGGUAGGUUUAUUAGCAUCUCCAGGGACAGUUGAAAGCCUCGUUGAUCAUUUUCGUUGGAUUUUUGGCCGCUUUGCAGGUGAGUGUAUA
rnacentral:sRNA from 1 species